UUUAUUAUAAUCUUCUCAAAACAUUAAUCUGACUAAUUCAAUUAUCAGACACGAACAUCAUCUGUGAAUCCAAAUCACGGUCUCAAAUUUACUAAGAGAAAUUUGAAAUCAGAAUCCAAAUUCAAAACCGAUUCACGACCAUACAAAUUAUUUUUCUAAACAUCUAAUAUCAAAUUUUUAAUAAUAAUAAUAAUAAUAAUAAUAGUACGUUAUUUUUUAUUUUUCAAAACCA
rnacentral:lncRNA from 1 species